UGGUGACCUCUGUAUGACUCUCUGG
rnacentral:misc_RNA from 1 species